UUGAUGCAUAUGCUCUACUCUCUACCUUGAUUAUCACAUCAAGCAGAGAGUCGGGGGUUAUAUCACAUAUUUUCGAUGUUACGGCUUUACUCCUCACUCGAUUCCAUCAUCGAGUAGAUAGUCAAGAGUUAUAGCAACACAUAUCUUCAAUGGUACCGGGGCGUGGAGUUUACAACCUGUCCCACGGAAUCGGGAAAAAGGAGUGAAGAUUGGGAGCUUGGCUAUUGCUUUCUUAUUUCCUCUGGUACUUUGGCACAUUGAGCUUGCUUGCAGGCCAUGAGCUUUCAUUUUAUUGCAAAAGCGUGCUGAUGUUUCCAGUUGUCUUUAUUUGUUUGUGCAUCUGUUGCUACUCAUUUGAUAAGUAUGUCAGCAUCAUUUCAACUUGUAAUACAUGGAUGUUUUUGGUGUUCAUUAAAAGUUUCGGUGUGAACAGUGUGUAUUUAUCAGACUAUUUUUUAUAAAUAGUAAUUUUUCGAGCGAAAUUAGAGAUCAAUACACUAGAAGUUCCGGUGAA